rnacentral:rRNA from 1 species
UCCCCCUGUGWUAMUARKUUAAASCACUUUAUACUGUGAAACUGCKAAUGGCUCAUUAAAUCAGUUAUCGUUUAUUUGAUAGUACCUUACUACAUGGAUACCUGUGGWAAUUCUAGAGCUAAUACAUGCUAAAAACCUCRACUUCGGAAGGGGUGUAUUUAUUAGAUAAAAAAMCAAUGCCCUUCGGGGCUCCUUGGUGAUUCAUAAUAACUUAACGAAUCKMAUGGSCUUGCKCCGGCGAUGGUUCAUUCAAAUUUCUGCCCUAUCAACUUUCGAUGGKAGGAUARUGGCCUACCAUGGUGGCAACGGGUAACGGGGAAUUAGGGUUCGAUUCCGGAGAGGGAGCCUGAGAAACGGCUACCACAUCCAAGGAAGGCAGCAGGCGCGCAAAUUACCCAAUCCCGACACGGGGAGGUAGUGACAAUAAAUACUGAUACGGGGCUCUUUUGRGUMUCGUAAUUGGAAUGAGUACAAUCUAAAUCCCWUAACGAGGAACAAUUGGAGGGCAAGUCUGGUGCCAGCAGCCGCGGUAAUUCCAGCUCCRAUAGCGUAUAUKAMAGWUGUUGCAGUUAAARAGCUCGYAGUUSAACCWUGUGUCUGGCUGGCCGGUCCGCCUCACCGCGAGUACUGGWCCGGMUGGACCUUKWCCUUCUGGGGACSUCAUGGCCGUUCACUGGCUGWGSGSGAACGAUGACCUAUUACUGUGAAAWAAUUGAGUAGUGAUCAAAAGGCAGGCUCUUUUGRCYCUCGCG